AGCCACGAAGCGGCGCCGUGCGCGACGACGACGACGACGUCGACGUCGGACACCCUCGCGCACCGUCCACUUUCCUCGUUCUCCCGCUUCAUCUUCUUCUUCGCCUUCGGUCGCGUGUUCGUUCAAUAAGGAUUGCGGCCGUAAGGGUUGCUCGACAGAGAGAGAGAGGAAGAAAGAAAGAAAAAGAGUGUGUGUGUCCGGUUGAAAUUAAAUUUCGACCGGACGUCGUCCAGUGGACAGACGGAGGGACCAAGUGGUCGUGGGGGGACUCGGCGUCCUUUUCUGUCUCUCCUCGCAAUUUCGAUCCUCGAUACCCUCGGUGGCGCGUACGUGAGUGCGGUACUUCGGUCGGAAACGAAUCGCCUUGGUGGUACGACGUGCGAAUUCUUAUCGAGGACGCCGAAGAGAGAGAGAGAGAGAGAGAGGCGCGGGAGCAGCGUGGGCAGUCACUGCUACACGGCGUGUGGUGGUCGGGUCUAUAAUUAACCGCGGAGGACGCGUCUGGAAGAGAAACGAGCUACCGUUUCUACGAGAAAUUCAGCCGAGAGGCUGCGAGCGACUCUCGACGGCUGGGAAAAGAGAGAGAGAGAGAGAAGGAGGCGGGGAGCUGAUCGGUGAAACCGCCACGCGACGCGAGAAAAAGUGCGAACGGGGAUGUGGGGUCGUCGGGUCGCGGACUCGACGAAUCGGCCCCGCUAGGGAAACCGCGGCGAUCCCUCGACGAAGCCGCCGUGUACCAUCUCGAGGAAAUCGCCCCGGGAGGUAAUCUUCCGGGGUGUACUCAUCAGAGAGGGAUUAUCGGGCGAAGCACGCUGGAGAGCGAAGUGAGGUCCGCCGAAUAAUAAAAAACUUCCUGAGUCUCGUCGCAGGGAGUUACCGAGUGUGUGAAGACGGAGCUGCUCCGUACAGUGAGAGUGUGAGCCAAUUACGCAGUAACUCUCUGGGUCUUCCCGUGUACACGUGCUGACGAAACGGCCGGAAAUCGGUCGCGCGAUAUCCAGUUCUCAAGCGGCGCGCGCGAAUCUGUCCCCCCUCCUCCCCUCUUUCUCUCUCUCUCUCUCUGUCGUCGCGCAAAGCAGGAAUUAGAUUUAACCGCGUGACUCACUCGAAGAGGCGCCCGGGCGCUACGUCGAGCGCGGUCUCGUUUCAAUCGGGAACGCGGAGUGUGAUCUCGUUGAGUCAACCGGAUUGACGAGAGAAACGAACGUGGCUACAACGAGGAAGGGCGACCGAGCGAGCGAGCGAUCAGCGGCACUCGAGGUUGAACUCGAGGGCUACGCGUGAUCCGUGAUUAGGACGUCGAUCGAUCGGGAAUUAACGCGGGAGAGAGCCGAACGGGCUGCGAUAGGAGCAUCAAUAGCCUAAUAAAUGUCACUCGCAACGAUCGAUCGCCGCCUUUUGCCAGCCAUGAUGUAAAGAGAGCGCGAUUUCACAGCGGCGGGGAGUGCCCGAGGGUGCGAACCACCGAGCGUUGUCGGGAGCGCGACUGGUCCCCGCUCGGCCGUCGAGGGAUAUAUCGCGGCGCGGGGGAGGAAAGCCCCGGCUCGUCGUCGGUCCGUCGUGCAUCUUCGUCGUGGGCGCGUCGAAGUUCGCGAGACAACCUGGCAACCGGAGCCGCGCGCGGAAGAGGAUCGACCCCCUACGCGGUUACGCACGGAUGGAGGAUGAGGAGCGGUAUGUGAGGGAGAGAGGCGGACGCUCCUAAACCGAUGAGAUGACAGUGCUGUGCGUGCUGUGGGCUACUCUGUCCACCGUGGCCUCGAUCCUGGCGUGCUCCGGUUUUUACCUGCCCUACUGGAUCCAGGGACGACUGCUGGGGAAGGCGGACGCGUAUUUCAGUUCCUUUCGGCGUUGCAACUACCCGCGGAUCAGAGCACCUAACACCACGCCUGAGAUAGUUUACGAGUGCGCGAGGUACUCCAGCUUUUGGGAUAUACCGAGCGCCUGGUGGCAAGCGAGCACGGUCACGAUGGGCAUCGGCGUUGCGGUCGCAGUGAUUGGUGCCCUCACGCUUUUGGCGGCGGCGUCGUCGUUCUUGCCGCACAUCUUGAAGACGCCGAAGCACACGAGGAUCCUUGGCUCCUUGCAGUUGCUCGCUGCAGCGAUGAUAUGCGGCGGUCUGGUGAUGUAUCCGAUAGGCUGGGAUAAUCGGGAAGUGCGCGAGUCCUGCGGGAAAGGGGCCAAUGUUUACAAUCUCGGGAAGUGCUCGGUGUCCUGGUCGACUCACUUGCUGGUAGGCUCGGUGGCGUUGCUGAUGCUGUGCUUCGGUCUGAGUUUCUGCGCGGCCCGACACAAGCCCUCGAACCCGCACACGGAUCCCCUGCGCAUUUGACAAUCGAGAUACUCCCAGUCGAUUCACGCCUACGCCUCGCCGAAGACGACCACGCUCUCCAUCGUCACGGUCUGUUGAUCGUGCCUGGCGCUGUUGCGGCGCCUGGGUGUGCCGUGCGUGUGCACGGUUCGAGAGAGAGCUGCUGCUGGUACGGUAUUUCCAAUUCGGUGCCGUAGUAGUAAGCCCGGUUGGAAGCGACGAAGCAAUUGGCAAUUCGCCUCAGCGGGACUUUCAGCACUUUCAAUUCGCAUGGGGAGCAAGCUCUGUUCGCUUCGCUCGCUCGCUCGCCGGCUGUAUACGCGGUGGAAACGCGAGAGGACUCGAAGAGACGGACACUCCCCCGCAUCGGGAGUCUGCAUUCAGAUGCGCCGUAACGAUCACGAUAUCCAGGUGGACCGCCGCUUCUCCCGAGAACCCCGGGAAUCACUGUUUCCCACGGCCUUUCGAAUAUAUCGAUCGUACAGAGGCACACGGAACAUUUCGACGAACUCUCCGGAGAUUUGUGCAUACCUCUCUCUCUCUCUCUCUUUCUCUCUAUUCCUGUCACUAUCUUCCUCUUAGCAUUUAUUCCAGUCUCGGAUCCUCUCUAUCUCUCUUUCUUUCUCUCUCUCUUUCUCUCUUUCUCUCGGCCUGCCCAGAUGUUGUUUCUUUCGCAGGAGUAAUUUAUCGGUUCAACGGCGGGAGUCGGCUUUUAACGUUCCUUUGAAAAAUUUAUCCGCAACCGCAAGAGACAAGAGCGCAUGGUCCGUCACACGGAUUUCUCUCGGAUAUAUUUCGCAUAUUUAUGAGGCAGCGACCGAGUGACCUACGGCGAUUUCGAUGAGAGUUCCGCUUGGUACCAUCGCGGGACGAACCGAAAAUGAGGGACGCGUAGCUUUUCAUGAUCACUCUCUUUCUCCCCCGUGUACGUUUAGGAAUUGCGACAAUCUCAGGUUGCACACCAGCGAGUGUCAGGUAAUCGUCGCGCGUAUUGAAUCGCGCAAGCGAGAGGGAGAAUUGGGCUCGAGCCAAGCGCGGGCGGGAAAUUUAGCGGGUAGCAUAAUCCGCGUAAUUAAAAGAUAAAAGGAUCAGAAAAGGUCGAGGAGUUCUGCUAGGAUGAGAUCUGCGGGCGCUAGUUUAUUUGUAUUGCGGCUCCCCUAUCUAAACAGUCCGCGGGUCUUCGGCUCCCUCUUCUUCUCCCGCGAAGCGAAAGAAUCCCGCGAGCCGGUCUCGAGUCAGUGGCCCGAAGGAUCCAGCGAAGAGAAAUAUUUUCUCGCUUAAUAUUUACGACGUCCGCCAGCUUGACUUUCCCACCGGCCACUUAAUCGCGCAAGCCACGACGUUCGCAAACGUCGACAUCGAAAGAUACGGUCGCGAUAUCGUGCGCCAUUCUACGGUAAGUUACAUUGAGAAAUCCACUUAGUUGAACCAAACAAAGUUAUUGUUAGCACGGAGGAAAAUAAUUUUGCUGGCAGCAGCAAAUUGUUGGUUAUUUUUAGAACAACAAAAAGAUUUGUUACACGGGGAAAAUAAUUUUGUCGUAGCGAAACCGUCAUCGUGACAGCGAUAAAAUUUUGUUAACAUAGCUAAUAUUUUUCUGAAUAUCUAUGUAUCCAGCAAAUGGCAAUUAAGAUGCUUAAUAAAACUUCUCGCUGUCCAAACAAAUCUUUUUGCUGUCCAAACAAAUUUUUUUAUUGUCCCUAUAGUAAAAUAUAUAGCAUAAAUAUA